rnacentral:rRNA from 1 species
GGAUUUGUCGGUUGGUCGGGCUUCACUGUCCGCACUGGCCUGAUGGAUUCCUACCUUCUGAACAACCAGCAUGCUAUUAAGUUAGUGCGUUGGGGAAGCAGAGCUAUUACCUUGAAAAAAUUAGAGUGCUUAAAGCAAGCUUGUGCUUGAAUAGAUUAGCAUGGAAUAAUAAAAUAGGACGGCAUGGUUCUAUUUUGUUGGUUUCUAGAGUCGCCGUA